rnacentral:rRNA from 1 species
CCCUUAGAUGUUCUGGGCCGCACGCGCGCUACACUGAUGCAUUCAACGAGUUUCUUCCUGGUCCGAGAGGAAUGGGUAACCUUUUGAAAGUGCAUCGUGAUAGGGAUAGACUAUUGCAAUUAUUGGUCUUCAACGAGGAAUUCCUAGUAGACGUAGUUCAUCAGACUGCAUCGAUUACGUCCCUGCCCUUUGUACACACCGCCCGUCGCUCCUACCGAUUGAAUGCUCCGGUGAGCCAUUCGGACUUUCAUCAUGCUGGUUUCCAGUUUUGAUGAAGGAAAGUCUUGCGAACCUUAUCAUUUAGAGGAAGGAGAAGUCGUAACA